ACACUGUUACUGGAGUUGUCAGCUCGGCUCAGGGAAGGUUUUCUCUCCACUCUCAGUCCAGUCUUCAGCUACAGACCGACCGGCUGGCUGCAUAAUAGCGGCAGGAUUUUCUUGCCUUUGUUAGCUAAGUUAGCUUGGAAAGCACCAAGAAAACACAGAGCCGCAUCCAUGCAUUAGCACCCUGUUUUUGGAAAAUGAUCAUCUGUACGAAUAAAAUGGAGUACCCCCUAAGAACCCAGUGCCAGCGACUCCACAAACAGGUGAUGGUGAAUGGAGAGAAGGAGCGAGUGUCGCUGCUGUUCAUGAAGGCUCUGGUCAGCAGGGGGAACGUGGACGCCGUGUCCCAGCAGAUGGCUUCUCACCCUCAGUACUUGGAGAGCUUCCUGCGCACACAGCACUACAUCCUGCACAUGGACGGCCCCCUGCCGCUGCCGUACCGCCAUUACAUCGCCAUCAUGGCUGCGGCACGACAUCACUGCAACUAUCUGGUGUACCUGCACUCAGCCCAGUUUCUGAGGGUGGGCGGGGACCCUCUGUGGUUGCAGGGUUUGGAGGCAGCGCCCCCUCGCCUUCGUCUCCUUGACCACAUCAACAAAGUUCUGGCCCACCAACCCUGGCUCACGGCCUGCUCACACAUCCAGACGCUGCUGAAGUCGGGCGAGCAAUGCUGGUCGCUGGCUGAACUGGUGCAGGCCGUCGUGAUCCUGGCCCACUGCCACUCCCUCUGCAGCUUUGUGUUUGGAUGCGACACAGACUCAGAUUUUCCCCCCCUCUCCAAAUCUCCUAACGGUACCCCGCCAACCUUUUGCCCCUUUGACGCUGCAAAUGGCAACACCAACGUGCCUCAGUCGCUUGCCACUCCGUCCGAACACAAAACACGAAGACGGUCUCUGGACUCCAGUUGUGACAUGGUGUGUCUAAAGGAGAGGAUCCAGAAGUCCCAGGAGGAGCGUGAAAAGAAAGAAGAGCGUCUUCUGCAGGCACAAACACUCCAGCAAACAGAUAUGGAAGAAGAGGAGGAGAUGAUAUUCUUCACAGACCCAACGCGUUUUAUCACAGACCCUGACUUAUGCUAUCAGGAGUUUGCUCGUAGGGAGGAGGACCACUUUCAAGUAUUUAGAGUUCAGGACUAUUCAUGGGAGGACCACGGCUUCUCCUUAGUCAACAGGUUGUAUUCAGACAUCGGGCACCUCUUGGACGACCGAUUCAGAAGUGUGACUACCCUUCCCUCGAUGCACUGCCCCGACCUGAAGAGGGCGAUCUGGAAUUACAUCCAUUGCGUGUUAGGAAUACGGUAUGAUGACUAUGAUUACGGAGAAGUGAAUCAGUUGCUGGUGCAGGAUUUAAAGCUGUACAUCAAGGCUGUGGCCUGUUUUCCAGAUGCCACUAAAACUCCAGUGUGUCCACUGAGUUUGGCUCCCCUUAAAACCUCAGAACGGAUACACGUUAAUUUACUAAUCAUGGAGGCCCGGCUUCAGGCUGAGCUGCUAUACGCUCUGAGAGCCAUCACUCAGUACAUGAUUGCCUAAGUGCUCGGAGAGGCACAAAGCUAAAGCUCUCCGCCGGUACAGAGAGACCCAGAGAUGCAAGAAAAAAAAAAAAAAAAUCUCAACUGCAGACGGUGUAGUGGAAUGAGAGCGGCAUUUUUAAGGACACAGAGCGCCAUCGCUUCGUAGCUGUGCCUCUUGAAUGUGCUUUUCUUUUUCUCAGAUUUAAUGUAUUGAAACCAUAGUGUUCCAGACACCCCCUUCUUCUGCAAACUCUCCUGUUGUGAUGUCCUCUCAUCAAACAUCGUGACUCUGAAAAGUUAUGUGCAAUUAUUAUUAGAGGUGUUUUAAUUUUGACCUGUUGUUCUGUGUUCCAGCUCAGUCUGAGAAACUGCUUGGUUGUAGCAGUGUGUUACAGUGGCCAAUACUCUCCCUAGUUUGAUCAGUCUCCUUUUGUAUUAACAAUGCUUUCCCCCCCAAAAUAUCUUUUUUUACAAGUUGAAUGUUAAUGGGAGACCAGGGCCUCUGUUUUUUGUUUUUUUGGACAAUCCUUGUCAGUGUUGGAGGAGGACAUUAAGUGGACUGUGACAUUUCGUAUUAAUGCUGGUCAAGAACAAACACAACAGUGACACUGCUCAAAGUUAUCGCAUCACUAUAGUUUCUUUUAAUAAGCACUUUUUUAAACUUUAUAUAUUUAUAAUACAAGGUAGGUCAUUAGUAGACACACAGUGUGUGGAUCUGACGCCUUCUCCACUGUACGUAUGACAAAGAUGUUCGUCAAACUUUCAGACUUUUGUUUUCAACCCCAGGUUUCUGUGUGAAAUAGCUUGAUCCAAGAUAUUUCAGUGAAUUAUUGCUCUUCUUAUGUUCAGUUCAGUGCUGACACACAGAAGGAUUUGAAGGUAAUGUUUUAAAAACACACAAUUUACACUUGAUAAGAAAAUUUGUAACUAAACUUAGGAAGUCAGUGAGCUGCUUCCGACACUGAAAGAUUAAGCUGAGCCAUUCACUAAAUGUUUGUAAUGGGUUAUUUUAUUAUUUUCUUUUUUAAAAAGUGAUCAAAUCAGAGACUGAAUUUCAGACCAAGUCAUU